rnacentral:rRNA from 1 species
UAAUGGGUGAUGGCGUGCCUUUUGUAGAAUGAACCGGCGAGUUACGAUUUGAUGCAAGGUUAAGCAGUAAAUGUGGAGCCGUAGCGAAAGCGAGUCUGAAUAGGGCGUUUAGUAUUUGGUCGUAGACCCGAAACCAGGUGAUCUACCCUUGGUCAGGUUGAAGUUCAGGUAACACUGAAUGGAGGACCGAACCGACUUACGUUGAAAAGUGAGCGGAUGAACUGAGGGUAGCGGAGAAAUUCCAAUCGAACCUGGAGAUAGCUGGUUCUCUCCGAAAUAGCUUUAGGGCUAGCCUCAAGUGAUGAUUAUUGGAGGUA